GCACUUAAAUGGAGGAGCAGGCGCGCAAUUACCCAAUCCUGACUCAGGGAGGUAGUGACAAGAAAUAACAAUAAACCGGCUUAUGCCGGUUUAAUUGGAAUGAGUACAAUUUAAACAUCUUAACGAGGAACAAUUGGAGGGCAAGUCUGGUGCCAGCAGCCGCGGUAAUACCAGCUCCAAUAGCGUAUACUAAAGUUGUUGCAGUUAAAAAGCUCGUAGUUGGAUUUCUGUGGGGACGGAGCGGCCGGCCGCACAUCGCGGUUCGAGCUAGCGCUUUCCCUACAUCCUGCCGCGAACCGUGCUACCAUUAGUUUGGUGGCGCCGGGGAUCGGCUCGAUUACUUUGAGAAAAAUAGAGUGUUCAAAGCAGGCCACAUGCCUUGAAUAAGUUAGCAUGGAAUAAUAACUAAGGACUUCGGUUCUAUUUUGUUGGUGUUCGGGACUGAAGUAAUGAUUGAUAGGGACAGUUGGGGCGGUCUGUAUUCCAAAGCGAGAGGUGAAAUUCUUAGACCUUCGGAAGACAAACAGCUGCGAAAGCGUUCCGCAAGGAUGUUCCCUUUGAUCAAGAACGAAAGUUGGGGGAUCGAAGACGAUCAGAUACCGUCGUAGUCUCAACUAUAAACUAUACCAGCUAGGGAUCGGCCAACGUUAUUUUAUACCGACUUGGUCGGCACCUUAUGAGAAAUCAAAGCAUCUGGGUUCCGGGGGGAGUAUGGUCGCAAGGCUGAAACUUAAAGGAAUUGACGGAAGGGCACCACCAGCCGUGGAGCCUGUGGCUUAAUUUGACUCAACACGGGAAAACUUACCAGGUCCAGACAUAGUAAGGAUUGACAGAUUGAUAGCUCUUUCUUGAUUCUGUGGGUGGUGGUGCAUGGCCGUUCUUAGUUGGUGGAGUGAUUUGUCUGGUUAAUUCCGUUAACGAACGAGACCCCAGCCUGCUAAAUAGCGCGCGUGAGCUUUGCUCGCGGCGAGCUUCUUAGAGGGACUAUGAUGCGCGAUAGCACAUGGAAGUUUGGGGCAAUAACAGGUCUGUGAUGCCCUUAGAUGUUCUGGGCCGCACACGGGCUACACUGGCGCCUGCAACGAGCAUAUCAGCUGGUCCGAGAGGAUCUUGGCUAAUCUUUUGAACCGGCGCCGUGCUUGGGAUUGACCUUUGCAAUUGUUGGUCAUGCAACGAGGAAUGCCUUGUAAACGCGAGUCAUCAGCUCGCAUUGAAUACGUCCCUGCCCUUUGUACACACCGCCCGUCGCUCCUACCGAUGAAUGUUCCGAUGAAAUUUUCGGAGAGUGCCUGUGAACUUGGCUCUGCCUUGCGAACGGGAAGCUCAAAGUCACUUAAAUCUGAACAUGGAGG
rnacentral:rRNA from 1 species